rnacentral:rRNA from 1 species
GUCCACGCCGUAAACGUUGGGCACUAGGUGUGGGUCUCAACCAACGAGAUCCGCGCCGUAGCUAACGCAUUAAGUGCCCCGCCUGGGGAGUACGGCCGCAAGGCUAAAACUCAAAGGAAUUGACGGGGGCCCGCACAAGCAGCGGAGCGUGUUGCUUAAUUCGAUGUUACGCGAAGAACCUUACCUGGGUUUGACAUGUAGGGAAAAGCUCUGGAGACAGGGUGUCCUAACGGGCCCUACACAGGUGGUGCAUGGCUGUCGU